rnacentral:rRNA from 1 species
UCGUACUGUGAAGCAUCCUGUUAAGUCAGGCAACGAGCGAGACCCACGCCCACAGUUGCCAGCGUACUCUCUGGAGUGACGGGUACACUGUGGGACCGCCGCUGCUAAAGCGGAGGAAGGAAUGGGCAACGGUAGGUCAGUAUGCCCCGAAUAUCCCGGGCUACACGCGAGCUACAAUGGUUGGUACAAUGGGUAUCUACCCGAAAGGGGACGGGAAUCUCCUAAAACCAAUCUUAGUUCGGAUUGAGGGCUGCAACUCGCCCUCAUGAAGCUGGAAUCCGUAGUAAUCGCGUUUCAACAGAACGCGGUGAAUACGUCCCUGCUCCUU